GCAGUGGGGAAUAUUGCACAAUGGGCGCAAGCCUGAUGCAGCCAUGCCGCGUGUGUGAAGAAGGCCUUCGGGUUGUAAAGCACUUUCAGCGGGGAGGAAGGCGAUAAGGUUAAUAACCUUGGCGAUUGACGUUACCCGCAGAAGAAGCACCGGCUAACUCCGUGCCAGCAGCCGCGGUAAUACGGAGGGUGCAAGCGUUAAUCGGAAUUACUGGGCGUAAAGCGC
rnacentral:rRNA from 1 species